UCGCCUCGACGGUCCUACGACCGGUGUC
rnacentral:sRNA from 1 species